GACGAACGCUGGCGGCGCGCUUAACACAUGCAAGUCGAACGGAAAGGCCUGCUUUCCCUUGUGGAUUGCGGGUACUCGAGUGGCGAACGGGUGAGUAACACGUGAGUGAUCUGCCCCCAACUUGGGUAUAAGCCUGGGAAACUGGGUCUAAUUCCCGAUAGGACUGCAGGGUGGUGCCUGUGGUGGAAAACGAUUUUCUAGUGGUUGGGGAUGAGCUCGCGGCCUAUCAGCUUGUUGGUGGGGUAAUGGCCUACCAAGGCGGCGACGGGUAGCCGGCCUGGGAGGGUGGACGGCCACAUUGGGACUGAGAUACGGCCCAGACUCCUACGGGAGGCAGCAGUGGGGAAUAUUGCACAAUGGGCGGAAGCCUGAUGCAGCGACGCCGCGUGGGGGAUUACGGCCUUCGGGUUGUAAACUCCUUUCGACCGCGAGGAAGCCACCUGGUUGGAAGGGUGGUGACGGUAGUGGUAGAAGAAGCACCGGCUAACUACGUG
rnacentral:rRNA from 1 species